GAUGAACGCUGGCGGCGUGCCUAAUACAUGCAAGUCGAGCGAACGGACGAGGAGCUUGCUCCUCUGACGUUAGCGGCGGACGGGUGAGUAACACGUGGAUAACCUACCUAUAAGACUGGGAUAACUUCGGGAAACCGGAGCUAAUACCGGAUAAUAUAUUGAACCGCAUGGUUCAAUAGUGAAAGGCGGUUUUGCUGUCACUUAUAGAUGGAUCCGCGCCGCAUUAGCUAGUUGGUAAGGUAACGGCUUACCAAGGCAACGAUGCAUAGCCGACCUGAGAGGGUGAUCGGCCACACUGGAACUGAGACACGGUCCAGACUCCUACGGGAGGCAGCAGUAGGGAAUCUUCCGCAAUGGGCGAAAGCCUGACGGAGCAACGCCGCGUGAGUGAUGAAGGUCUUCGGAUCGUAAAACUCUGUUAUUAGGGAAGAACAAAUGUGUAAGUAACUAUGCACGUCUUGACGGUACCUAAUCAGAAAGCCACGGCUAACUACGUG
rnacentral:rRNA from 1 species